CCUCCCAACCGUAGAAUAAAAAAUGAGAAUCCUCCAUCCUUUACUAACAAAAGAGAGAGAUAUCUCCAUCCUUCUCCUUGUUAUGGGCUGUAGUAGGUGGUGGCCAUGCCUAUCUCUUUCACCUGUACACUUAAAUAAACUUGCACACUGUUACAAUUCUAAGUAUCGAAGAACUGAUGUGAUUGGUCAAAUUUACACAAAGAAAAAUAAUAGCUUUUAUGAAUGAAAGAGAAAUGUGUUUAUACCACGUGUGUAAGAUUGUUUUUAAUUUGUUGCCUCGUGCCUGCGCCGCCAUUGUAAUUUUACUGCGAAAGAUUGGUUUUGACUUUUCAAUAAUUGAAAUCAUUGAAAUUCGCAUGAGCGCCGCUGGAAUUACUAAUAAUAAGGAUAAAUCUUUCUUGUUAAUUAAUUAUCUUCACUAUUUAAAUAAAUUUUGAUUUAUAAAAAGAUAUACAAUGUAGUUCGAUUCGUGCUUGGUUAUUGAUAAAAGUAAUUUUGUUUUAAAUGUGUUAUUCCCAAGUGUAAAACGCGAUCAAAUUACGUGCUGUACCUUUUACUGAUAGUGAUAACACUAGAUGGGAGGCAUGGUUCAUCAAUUGUCCAAUAUUACGGAAAUAUACUCGUAGGCAGUUAGAAAACGUUAAAAUUUGUGAAAACCACUUUCUACCCAGAAAAAAGACCUACUUAUUGGUAAUCAACGUGCACAGUGGUCCAUCAUUGAGGAGCUCUAUGCUACAGAUGGUGAAGCCGGACGUGCAAGAACCACAACCCUGACGGAUAAACACAUUAGACCAACUUCUUAUGACAAGAUGAA